GUGGUACUAGUGGGUCCAAAUAAAUUCAUGUGAACCAAUUCUAGAGGUCUAGAAGUUAAAAUAAUAUUUUUCAAUUUGAAAGAGCUUCUAGUUUGCUUUCUAAGUUGAUAUGCAUCGCAAAUCUUGUUCUUUUCAAAAUUUAUUUUUGGUAAUCUUUUGACAAGAUACUUUUUGAUAAGUCUCAAAAUCAAAUCUAUGCUAGCA
rnacentral:lncRNA from 1 species